AGCAGGUGCUUAUGCCGCUGAGCUAAAUCCCCAGCCCCGGGUUAUCAGAACUUAUUAACAUUAGUGUCACUAAAGUUGGUAUACCACCCCCCCCACUGCUAAAUUUGACUGGCUUUAA
ensembl:misc_RNA Y_RNA Y RNA